rnacentral:rRNA from 1 species
GACGAACGCUGGCGGCGUGCUUAACACAUGCAAGUCGAACGAGUGGCGAACGGGUGAGUAACACGUGAGUAACCUGCCCCUUCUUCUGGAUAACUGCUUGAAAGGGUAGCUAAUACGGGAUAGUGGGGGAUGGGCUCGCGGCCUAUCAGCUUGUUGGUGGGGUGAUGGCCUACCAAGGCGGGGACGGGUAGCCGGCCGGAGAGGGUGGGAGGCCACACUGGGACUGAGACACGGCCCAGACUCCGACGGGAGGCAGCAGUGGGGAAUAUUGCACAAUGGGCGCAAGCCGGAUGCAGCCAUGCCGCGUGUAUGAAGAAGGCCUUCGGGUUGUAAAGUACUUUCAGCGAGGAGGCGUUACUCGCAGAAGAAGCACCGGCUAACUCCGUGCCAGCAGCCGCGGUAAUUC